UACAGAGGUCUCGAGCGUUAGGCGGAGUCACUGGGCUUAAAGCGUGUGUAGGUGGAUGCCUAAGUACCUUGUGAAAUCCCACAGCUUAACUGUGGAACUGCUUGGUAUACUGGGUGUCUUGAGUCACUCAGGGGCGAGCGGAACAAAUGGUGGAGCGGUGAAAUGCGCAGAUAUCAGGAGGAACACCGAUUGCGAAGGCAGCUCGCUGGAACGUUACUGACGCUGAGACGCGAAAGCGUGGGGAGCAAACAGG
rnacentral:rRNA from 1 species